CCCUUAGAUGUUCUGGGCCGCACGCGCGCUACACUGAUGCAUUCAACGAGCCUAUCCUUGACCGACAGGUCCGGGUAAUCUUUGAAUCUGCAUCGUGACGGGGAUAGAUUAUUGCAAUUAUUAAUCUUCAACGAGGAAUGCCUAGUAGGCGCAAGUCAUCAGCUUGCGUCGAUUACGUCCCUGCCCUUUGUACACACCGCCCGUCGCUGCUACCGAUUGAGUGGUCCGGUGAAUUAUUCGGACCGGUGGACUGUGGGGAAACCCGCGGCCUGCUGGGAAGUCUUGUGAACCUUAUCACUUAGAGGAAGCAGAAGUCGUAACA
rnacentral:rRNA from 1 species